UACGUAGGGUGCAAGCGUUGUCCGGAAUUAUUGGGCGUAAAGAGCUCGUAGGCGGUCUGUCGCGUCGGCUGUGAAAACCCGAGGCUCAACCUCGGGCCUGCAGUCGAUACGGGCAAACUAGAGUACUGCAGGGGAGACUGGAAUUCCUGGUGUAGCGGUGAAAUGACGCAGAUAUCAGGAGGAACACCGGUGGCGAAGGCGGGUCUCUGGGCAGUAACUGACGCUGAGGAGCGAAAGCGUGGGGAGCGAACAGG
rnacentral:rRNA from 1 species